rnacentral:rRNA from 1 species
UACGAAGGGGGCUAGCGUUGUUCGGAAUCACUGGGCGUAAAGCGCACGUAGGCGGCUCUUUAAGUCAGGGGUGAAAUCCUGGAGCUCAACUCCAGAACUGCCUUUGAUACUGAGGAGCUCGAGUCCGGGAGAGGUGAGUGGAACUGCGAGUGUAGAGGUGAAAUUCGUAGAUAUUCGCAAGAACACCAGUGGCGAAGGCGGCUCACUGGCCCGGUACUGACGCUGAGGUGCGAAAGCGUGGGGAGCAAACAGG